ACACUCUGGUUUCUCUUCAUAUCGCAUAAAUCUUUCGCCUUUUACUAAAGAUUUCCGUGGAGAGGAACAGUUAUGAGUUUUUACCCAAUUUUUUGAGGCCUCAGCUCACGAGGCU
ensembl:snRNA U5 U5 spliceosomal RNA